UUUGCCACCCAGGAGUCAGAGUCGCUGUUCAAAUUGUCCUGCAAAGCCGGAACAGGGGUUUCAGUUGGGACGCUGCAGAGGGACACCACUCAGCUCUGCAGGUCGCUGCGCAGCUGCUCAGCCCCUUUUCCAUGCCAGCCUGCAAAGAGGCUAAAUGCCCUUCCCUAGGGCUGUCUGGGAAGCCUGUGCCAGGGCCUGAUACACACAGCGUUACUCCUGAAGCUGCUGAGAAUGCCCAAAGUCUUACGGAGAUGCAGGGGAUGGGAUGCUUGGCUGUAUUUCCAGCAGGCCCUCUGCUCAGCUGGUAAUGUGGAGUCUCAAUGGAGAGGAUAAAGCUACAUCUGCCUGGGCAAGCGCAGCGGAUGGUGGUGUAAGCCACUCACCUU